rnacentral:misc_RNA from 1 species
GGUGAGCACACUGAGUCACGUCUGCUGAAGGUUUUGCUGGAAGUGGGGAAAUAACAGUUCUGAGCCACUUUGCUGUUGUCAUGGCUGUGCUAACAGGUGUGGCAGCAAGUUUUGCAUUACCACUAUUAAGAGUGCCAUUGGCAUGCGAAGCAGGAGAGCGAAGUGGAGACAUUGGACUGGUUAUUGUCCUUGCAGGUGAGCACACUGAGUCAAACUUCCUCUUGAUGCCACCCAUUGUAACAGCACCUGCUGACAAGCUACCCGACCCAAGUAAACUGUCCUCGUCACUAACAAAAAUCCGCUCAUCAAGCUCACCUUUAUUACAAAUUGCAUCUUCAUAGUCCUUUUCAAGAAUUUCUAAACUGGAUGAAAGAGAUGAC